GACGAACGCUGGCGGCGUGCUUAACACAUGCAAGUCGAACGGGCCUGUCUUCUUUUUUGGGGGGUGGGUUGAGUGGCGAACGGGUGAGUAUCACGUGAGUAACCUGCCCUUCGGUCCUGGAUAACCGCUUGAAAGGGCGGCUAAUACGGGGUGGUCCGGUUGGUCCGCAUGGGCUGGUCGGGAUAGAUUCACUGUUUUUGGUGUUUCGGCGGGGGAUGGGCUCGCGGCCUAUCAGCUUGUUUGUGGGGUGAUGGCCUACCAAGGCGGUGACGGGUAGCCGGCCUGAGAGGGUGGGCGGCCACACUGGGACUGAGAUACGGCCCAGACUCCUGCGGGAGGCAGCAGUGGGGGGUAUUGCACAAUGGGCGGAAGCCUGAUGCAGCGACGUCGCGUGAGGGAUGGAGGCCUUCGGGUUGUGAACCUCUGUUUCCGGUGGUGAAGGCCCUGUCCGUGUGGUGGGGUUGACGGUAGCCGGGGAUGAAGCGCCGGCUAACUACGUG
rnacentral:rRNA from 1 species